rnacentral:rRNA from 1 species
UUGCUGUUAAAAAGCUCGUAGUUGGAUUUCUGCAUGGAAGGAGCGGUCCACCCAUUGGGCGAGUUACUGCUACCUUUGGUGCAUCUUUCUGAGGACGUGUUCUUCACUUAAUUGUGAGGGCGCAGGACUCAGAACAUUUACUUUGAGGAAAUGAGAGUGUUUCAAGCAGGCAAAUGCCUUGAAUACGUUAGCAUGGAAUAAUAGCAUCGGACCAUCGUCCAGCUGUUGGUGUCUGGGCGAAGGUAAAGGUGAAUAGGGAUUGUUGGGGGCAUUCGUAUUUAACUGUCAGAGGUGAAAUUCUUGGAUUUGUUGAAGACGGACCACUGCGAAAGCAUCUGCCAAAGAUGUUCUCAUUGAUCAAGAACGAAAGUUAGGUGAUCGAAGACGAUCAGAUACCGUCCUAGUCUUAACCAUAAACUAUGCCGACUGGAGAUAGGAAGCGUUUAUCUUACGACUCUUU